rnacentral:rRNA from 1 species
GAUGAACGCUAGCGGCAGGCUUAAUACAUGCAAGUCGAGGGACAGCACAGGUAGCAAUACUGGGUGGUAACCGGCAAACGGGUGCGGAACACGUACACAACCUUCCUUUAAGUGGGGGAUAGCCCAGAGAAAUUUGGAUUAAUACCCCGUAAUAUAGUUGAAUGGCAUCAUUUGAUUAUUAUAGCUACGGCGCUUAAUGAUGGGUGUGCGGCUGAUUAGAUAGUUGGCGGGGUAACGGCCCACCAAGUCUACGAUCAGUAGCUGAUGUGAGAGCAUGAUCAGCCACACGGGAACUGAGACACGGGCCCGACUCCUACGGGAGGCAGCAGUAAGGAAUAGUGGUCAAUGGACGCAAGUCUGAACCAGCCAUGCCGCGUGAAGGAUUAAGGUCCUCUGGAUUGUAAACUUCUUUUAUUUGGGACGAAAAAGGGCCUUUCUAGGUCAACUGACGGUACCAGAUGAAUAAGCACCGGCUAACUCCGUGCCAGCCGCCGCAGUAA